GUGAACGCUGGCGGCGUGCCUAACACAUGCAAGUCGAACGAUGAUGGAGAGCUUGCUCUCCUGAUUAGUGGCGCACGGGUGAGUAUACCAUAGAUAAUGUACCUCUUAGUUUGGGAUAGCCACUGGAAACGGUGAUUAAUACCGGAUACCCCUUCUUACUCUAAGGUAAGUCGGGAAAGUUUUUUCGCUAAGAGAUCAGUCUAUGUCCUAUCAGCUAGUUGGUGAGGUAAUGGCUCACCAAGGCUAUGACGGGUAUUUGGUUUGAGAGGAUGAUCAGACACACUGGAACUGAGACACGGUCCAGACUCCUACGGGAGGCAGCAGUGAGGAAUAUUGCACAAUGGAGGAAACUCUGAUGCAGCAACGCCGCGUGGAGGAUGACGCAUUUCGGUGUGUAAACUCCUUUUAUAUGUCAAGAAAAUGACGGUAGCAUAUGAAUACGCACCGGCUAACUCCGU
rnacentral:rRNA from 1 species